rnacentral:tRNA from 3 species
GUCCGGUUGGUCUAAUAGGUCUAUGACACAGCCCUUUCAAGGCUGUAAUAUGGGUUCGAUUCCCGUACCGGACA